rnacentral:misc_RNA from 1 species
GAAGAGGAAGAGGAAGAGGAAGAUUGUUCUUGAUCAUCAGGCUGCAAGCUUGUAGAAUUGGCAAGGUGUUUUUCUGAUAUGGGUGAUGAAUUUGGGUGAGAAGAUAUGAAAUUGGACCAGAUGAUGAGAAGAAAGAGGGAGAGGAAGAAGAAACAGAGGAGGAUGAGCUUGAUGUUAGUGGGAGAUUGAGUUUUAGACCUCAUAGCUGUGAAUAUGUUUGAUGAAUUUCCCAAGAGAGAGAGUGGCAGCUAGCCAUGAAAUCUGUUUCAGAAAGCUUGAAGUUUGGUCUUGUUCCUCAAAGAAAGAAAGGUGGUGGGGGCCUUGGAAGGAGAGGAGACAAAGACAUUAAUAAAUUUCGUUUUCUUAGAAGAAAGUGAUAGAAUGGGAUGGUAAACUGAG